GGGAUGAAGUCGUAACAAGGUAACCGUUGGGGAACCAGCGGUUGGAUCACCUCCUUU
rnacentral:rRNA from 1 species